rnacentral:rRNA from 1 species
GACGAACGCUGGCGGCGUGCUUAACACAUGCAAGUCGAGCGGAAAGGCCCGGCGGGGUCCACGCGCGGCGAACGGGCGGGUAAGACGUGAGUAAGCUGCUCAUCACUUCGGGAUAACUGCGGGAAACCGGUGCAACUACCCAAUAUGACGACUUUAUGCAUCUGAUGGUGGUGGAAAGUUCCGGCGGGGAUGGAUGAGCUCGCGGCGUAUCAGCUUGGUGGUGGGGUCGUGGUGUUCCAAUGCCUCGACGUGUAGCCGGCCUGGGAAGGUGACCGGCCACACUGGGACUGAGGCACGGCCCAGACUCCUACGGUAGGCAGCAGUGGGGAAGAUUGGCGAAGGGGCGAAAGCCUGAUCCAGAAACGCCGCGUAUGGUAAAACGGCCUUCUGGUUGUAAACCAAUUGCAUCAGUGACGAUGCGCAAGUGACGGUACCUGAAGAAGAAGCCCCGGCCAACUACGUG